ACUCCUACGGGAGGCAGCAGUGGGGAAUAUUGCACAAUGGGGAAACCCUGAUGCAGCCAUGCCGCGUGUGUGAAGAAGGCCUCGGUUGUAAGACACUUCAGUAGGAGGAAGGUAGUGCAGUUAACACCUGCAUUAUUUGUACGUUACCUACAGAAGAAGCACCGGCUAACUCCGUGCCAGCAGCCGCGGUAAUACGGAGGGUGCGAGCGUUAAUCGGAAUUACUGGGCGUAAAGCGCAUGCAGGCGGCCUGUUAAGUCAGAUGUGAAAGCCGGGGGCUUAACCUCGGAAUUGCAUUGAAACUGGCAGGCUAGAGUCUUGUAGAGGGGGUAGGAAUUUCAGGUGUAGCGGUGAAAUGCGUAGAGAUCUGAAGGAAUACCAGUGGCGAAGG
rnacentral:rRNA from 1 species